CCUACGGGCGGCAGCAGUCGAGAAUCUUUCACAAUGGGCGAAAGCCUGAUGGUGCGACGCCGCGUGGGGGAAUGAAGGCCUUCGGAUUGUAAAUCCCUUUCAUCUGGGAGCAAAUUAAAAAGAUAGUACCACAAUAGGAAGAGACGGCUAACUCUGUGCCAGCAGCCGCGGUAAUACAGAGGUCUCAAGCUAUGUUCGGAAUCACUGGGCGUAAACCGUGCGUAUGCUGUUUCGUCAGUCGGGUGUGAAAGGCGCGGGCUGAACCCGCGAACGGAACACGAUACUGCGAGUCUAGAGUAAUGGAGGGGGAGGCAGAAUUCGAGGUGUAGCGGUGAAAGGCGUAGAGAUCGGGAGGAACACUGGUGGCGAAGGCGGGUUCCUGGACAUUAACUGACGCUGAGGCACGAAGGCGAGGGGAGCGAAAGGGAUUAGAUACCCCUGUAGUC
rnacentral:rRNA from 1 species